rnacentral:rRNA from 1 species
UACGUAGGGGGGCAAGCGUUUGUCCGGAAUCAUUGGGCGUAAAGCGCGCGUAGGCGGCUAGAUCAGUCUGCUGUGAAAGUCAAAAGGCUCAACCUUUGAAUGCCGGUGGAUACUGUCUAGCUAGAGUCCGGAAGAGGCGAGUGGAAUUCCUGGUGUAGCGGUGGAAUGCGCAGAUAUCAGGAGGAACACCAACGGCGAAGGCAGCUCGCUGGGACGGUACUGACGCUAAGGCGCGAAAGCGUGGGGAGCGAACAGG